rnacentral:rRNA from 1 species
CAGUAGCCGCGGUAAUACGUAGGGUGCGAGCGUUAAUCGGAAUUACUGGGCGUAAAGCGUGCGCAGGCGGUAAUGUAAGACAGAUGUGAAAUCCCCGGGCUCAACCUGGGAACUGCAUUUGUGACUGCAUUGCUGGAGUGCGGCAGAGGAGGAUGGAAUUUCGCGUGUAGCAGUGAAAUGCGUAGAUAUGCGGAGGAACACCGAUGGCGAAGGCAAUCCCCUGGGCCUGCACUGACGCUCAUGCACGAAAGCGUGGGGAGCAAACAGGAUUAGAUACCCCCGUAGUCCCUGUCUCUUAUAC